UGUGAUCAGAGAGUGGACACCCCGCACCUCCUCUUCUCCUCCAUUGGUUUCCCUGUCGUGGUCACCAAGCACCACCUGCCACACUGCCGCCAUCCUCGUGAACGUGAAGGCUUUACUGCAAUUAUACGCCAAGUGAGCAGCAGUGACUACCCAUCUUUGACUGACCAGCACACCUCCGCACCAGUGUCCAAUUCGGCCCCAGCGCGGGUGAAUCAGCUGAAGGGACGCCUGAGGAGAGGGACAGUUUUCAAGCAGCACCAAGCACCAACACCAAGCGGCAAGUGCAAGCCUUCUCCACAACCCUCUACACUGCCUUAUCUUCAUCAAUUAAAGGCUCAGGCGUGUAGAUGGAAGCAGUAGAAGAAAGACGAAAGAGAAACAAUGGAG